GAAGUAUAAAAUUAAUGGCUCAAAAAAUCUAAUUAAAAAUUAUAGGAGCCCCAAAUUAAUUAUUUUACAAUCGAGACUUUAGAAGCCAUCUCAGAUUUUGAGAAGUGUUUAUUCAUCUAGACGUUGUGCCAGCAGCGUCACUAAUUCCAGCAGAAUGGCUUUUCAAGUGUUUCUGCACAGGAUCUGGUGCUACAUUCUUGAUAUUCUUUUCCUGCUGUAGAAAUUUAGUUUAAGAGACAAAAAACUACACGUUUUUGUGAUUUAAAUGCACCAGAGCACUGCGACGUAGGGUUAAGAGUCGGUUACAUAUUUCAGGUAUUGGAGCCAGACAGCAAUUCAGUCUAAUAAUGUGCAUGUCUACUAUUUCCUGAAAAUUUGCUGCUACAUGACCCCUUAUAUGCAUAUGCGUGACCCUACAACAAACUCUGUUAUCUGGUGCCAAAAAAUGGCAUUAGCUUCAGCUGCUUUAUUAAAUUGCUACCCAAGCUGGCUCGCAUUCACAGUGAACAGGACGCGGCGUAUCCGCAGCUACCGCCUGCUGUGCCAGCCAACAGGGGAGCCUCCGCUGCCGGCCGCAUUUGCUGGAGUUAGGUACAGGGGAAGAGCGAAAGCCCUUUGAGUGCUGGGCUGGGGUGUUCUGCACGCUGCUACGAGGCUGCUUGUCCUGCUCUCUGAAGAAGGCACUCCGGGCGUGCUGCCUCUUGCGUGCCGUGAGCCCCACGAGUCCUGCUCAGGGCCCCGUCUCGCCCGGUCACUGGUGAUGCCGCGUAGUCGGCAGAAAGCGGUCUGGUUUUUAAGGAGCACUUGUCAAUUAGGCUGCAGCUGUGCCUGGCUGUACUGUUCCCAACUAAAUCUUCUGUCCUGGAGACAAGGUUAAGGAAGUAGGUCCUUGUCUCCCUUCAAGGAGAUGAGGUUAGAGAAGUACGGCCUGUAAUUAAUGUCUAGCUUUUAAUAUUAUUGGCUGAAAACAGUUGCAAAUGUGACAGCGGACAGCAACUGCCAAGAUACAGAUACAGUAAACUCAGAAAAGAUCUCAGUCAUUAGAAGACCACCAGAAUAAUUUGAAAAGGAGAAGGAAGAAGACAAGGUUCUGUUCUUCUCCCAUUACUCCGUUGCUGGUGGAUCACAAGUUACCACUCUGAGCAUUCACCGUUUCCUGGCAAUCUUUCUUAAUUUGAAAGAGGCCUCACUCCUUUGGCUUUACCCCGUGGCUGUGAAAUUGCCUGAGCUGUUAAGUUUUAUUUGCAGUGUUUCCUGAACAUUUGUUCUUUCAGAGACAAAAUAACUGUGGUAUUCACAGAGACCUUUUUGUGCUUGGAACAAGAAUUUCAUCAACAGUUGCUGAAUUUUUCAAAGUGAAGGAAAAAGGACAUUAGAUAGAAGCAGAAACUCUUCUUUACACCAUACCAUCUGGUUACCACAUAAAUGAAGACUCAACUCAUGGAGGAUAUAUACCAAAUGCAUGAUGAUAGACUUGACAGCCUUGCCUGACUGGGAUGGAGAUUCCUGAUGGGAGAAUGUGAAAGUUAAAAGUUAAGCAGUAUCUGAAGACUCUUGAUUUCUGAAGUCCAAAUGAUUCUGUACAGGGCAGGACUUCUGAAGUGUCUGAAGUGUGAAGCUGCAUCAGUGGAGGGUCAGUUUGGAUGUUAGGGUAAGGUUCUUCACCAAGAGGGUGAUCAAGCACUGGAGCAGGCUCCCCAGGGCAGUGGUCACAGCACCGAGCCUGCUGGAGUUCAAGAAGUGUUUGCACAAAGCUCAAAGACAUAGGGUAUGAUUUUUAGGUGGUCCUGUGUGAGGCAGGAGCUGGACUUGAUGAUCUUGUGAGUCCCUUCCAACCCAACAUGUUCUCUGAUUCCAUGAUUCUAAGUGUCCUCCCUGGACAGAAAAAGUACUGCUAGUGUGAAAAACUAAGUCUAAACUAAGAUUAAAUCCAUACUUGGGGGUCCGUAGUCAACUACAAAGGCUCACUAUGGACAAGUUACUGCAAGAUGUAGAAAAGAGAAACUCUUUUCUAAGUUUUGGGAAACUCUUUUUAUAUUCUCUAGUGACCAUGCUGCUGUCUGCUGAAGAAAGAAGAUGAAAAUUAUAUUGCUAGAGAACGUGUGCAGGAAUUCCUCAGUGGUAACUAUGCACAGUUCACUAACUAAUGCCUCUCUUUCUGCAGUCCCCAGAGGUUGAAACAGUUAGUUGAAUGAGCUUUUAUCUGAACAGGGCAUAAAACACCCAUCAGCUGGUAUGCUUCUGAUAUAAUUUUAAGUGUUUUGCUUAAAAAUACAUAACUGUGAAUAUUGAACUCCUUAGAUGAUUCCUUCAUGGAUGAAUAAAGAAGCUUCAGAUUCAUCUGUUCCAGAUAAGUCAGGUGUCUGUAAAGAAUCUGUGCAUGUGGUACCCACUCUUUGCACUGAAGAAACAAGAGAAAGUGCUUCUGUGAAGGGAGUGGAGUGCUUGUCCUUGUCAAGAGUCUCUGAAGGCAUCCCAGGUGAAUUUUGUUUCAAAAGUAAAUAUGAAAACUCUUUCCAUUUUCUAUGAAUCCUCACUUCCUAAGACAGACUUGUAGUAACCUCUCAUGUAACCUUGACCUCAGUUGCAAGCAGCUUUUCCAAAACGUUCGUCUAAGGAAAGAAAAAUCUAAAGAAUCUCUCAUUACUGCUGCUGCAGCUAGAAGAUCCUUUUUCUUUCCCUACAUCCUAGGAGCUCAUCUAACUGCUAUGUGUCUAGUCCUACCUUUUGGGAAAUGGUAACAAUGUGAACCUGCAAAAAAUAAAGGAAAGGGAAAAGAUGUUUUUUUUUUUCUUCUGACACCUGCACAAAUCAGAGGCUGUGCAUGUACAGUGUCUUCAGUACUGCCACUGCAGUGACUGCAGGUCAUGUUUGGAGUGGUAAGCUUCAUCAUCAGCACUAUAGAAUUCCUAAAUAUUUACUGGGAAUGUUGGAUUUGCUGUUUCUGCAGUGAAGCUUAUAAAUUGCAGUAUGAACAACCAGGAGAAGACAUGCAAAUAUAUUUAUUCGUAUGUGUAAAUUAAGAUAAAUAGGUGCAUGUUCAUGUUUCAUGGUGAUUCAUGAAUCAGGUGAUUCAAUGCAGGAAGAAUCACCUCUCUCCUUGCUAUCAAAAGCAAUGCAUCAGAUAGGCACCUGUUUCUCAAAUGAUAAUAACAUGAUGAUAUACUCUUUCAUUAUACAUGUAUAAGAAGAGAUGUGUUUCUGAGUCUCCUUGUAAUGCUUUGGUACUUUCUUCAUUCCCAUAAAAUUGCAAUUUCCAAAUUGUGAGAGACUUUUUGUGGUAUUUGGGGUGGGCUAGGCAGAGAGAAAACCAGCCAUUUCAAUCCAUUACUUUUGUUAUUUCUUCUUCUUGCAGAAACUUCAGCCCUCUAGCUGCUCGUGAGGUAGUAACGUAUGUGUAACUGUUAGUCUGACUGAGCAUGCCUCUGGUUUUUGCUGUUCUUUUUGAGAUAGCUUAAGAAGCAAUACAUUUAUGUGGAAUAUACCUUAUUCUGAAGAUCUAAAUAAAACCCAUGACUGUGCAGAGGGAAGAUUUUUGAAUGCUGCAAACAAACAGAGGUCUGCACUGUUAUUUUUCUCCCGAAGUGCAGUGCUGACUGACUGGUCUACUGAAAUGAAUUUUUCCUUUAAUUUUGCACUUUUUCAUAAUAUAAGUGUACAAGGGAAUGUGACAAUAUGCUCGCAUCAUAACUGCUUCCCCUAAUGUAAUGCAUAUGAACUAUAGUCUAUAAAAAUACCAUGAAACAAGAGGUCUAGAGUUCAGCAAAAAUAAGAUCAGUAUUUAUGUGGAAGGAUUGUUGUCAUUCUGUGUCGUUUAUUGUAGCUGCUGGCAGCCUAGAAGUUUAUUGCAUUCGUUCUCCCUGUUCUGCAAUACUGACAAGUCAGCCUGAUCCUGUACCCUUUAGAGUAAGUGCAAAUUUAGAAAAUGUGUCUGCAUUGUGGCAAAUAAAGGCAGCCAGAGCUGAGAAAAGUGAA